rnacentral:rRNA from 1 species
GAACGAGUUUUGGUCGAUGAACGGUGCUUGCACUGUGAUUCAACUUAAAACGAGUGGCGGACGGGUGAGUAACACGUGGGUAACCUGCCCUUAAGUGGGGGAUAACAUUUGGAAACAGAUGCUAAUACCGCAUAAAUCCAAGAACCGCAUGGUUCUUGGCUGAAAGAUGGCGUAAGCUAUCGCUUUUGGAUGGACCCGCGGCGUAUUAGCUAGUUGGUGAGGUAACGGCUCACCAAGGCCAUGAUACGUAGCCGAACUGAGAGGUUGAUCGGCCACAUUGGGACUGAGACACGGCCCAAACUCCUACGGGAGGCAGCAGUAGGGAAUCUUCCACAAUGGACGCAAGUCUGAUGGAGCAACGCCGCGUGAGUGAAGAAGGCUUUCGGGUCGUAAAACUCUGUUGUUGGAGAAGAAUGGUCGGCAGAGUAACUGUUGUCGGCGUGACGGUAUCCAACCAGAAAGCCACGGCUAACUACGUGCCAGCAGCCGCGGUAAUACGUAGGUGGCAAGCGUUAUCCGGAUUUAUUGGGCGUAAAGCGAGCGCAGGCGGUUUUUUAAGUCUGAUGUGAAAGCCCUCGGCUUAACCGAGGAAGCGCAUCGGAAACUGGGAAACUUGAGUGCAGAAGAGGACAGUGGAACUCCAUGUGUAGCGGUGAAAUGCGUAGAUAUAUGGAAGAACACCA